rnacentral:rRNA from 1 species
UGGGGAAUAUUGGACAAUGGGCGAAAGCCUGAUCCAGCCAUGCCGCGUGUGUGAAGAAGGUCUUCGGAUUGUAAAGCACUUUAAGUUGGGAGGAAGGGCAGUUACCUAAUACGUGAUUGUUUUGACGUUACCGACAGAAUAAGCACCGGCUAACUCUGUGCCAGCAGCCGCGGUAAUACAGAGGGUGCAAGCGUUAAUCGGAAUUACUGGGCGUAAAGCGCGCGUAGGUGGUUUGUUAAGUUGGAUGUGAAAUCCCCGGGCUCAACCUGGGAACUGCAUUCAAAACUGACUGACUAGAGUAUGGUAGAGGGUGGUGGAAUUUCCUGUGUAGCGGUGAAAUGCGUAGAUAUAGGAAGGAACUCCAGUGGCGAAGGCGACCACCUGGACUAAUACUGACACUGAGGUGCGAAAGCGUGGGGAGCAAACA